rnacentral:rRNA from 1 species
UACGUAGGGGGCAAGCGUUGUCCGGAAUUAUUGGGCGUAAAGAGUACGUAGGUGGCAACCUAAGCGCAGGGUUUAAGGCAAUGGCUCAACCAUUGUUCGCCCUGCGAACUGGGAUGCUUGAGUGCAGGAGAGGAAAGCGGAAUUCCUAGUGUAGCGGUGAAAUGCGUAGAUAUUAGGAGGAACACCAGUGGCGAAGGCGGCUUUCUGGACUGUAACUGACACUGAGGUACGAAAGCGUGGGGAGCAAACAGG